GGCUCAGGAUGAACGCUGGCGGCGUGCCUAAUACAUGCAAGUCGAGCGAAUGGAUUAAGAGCUUGCUCUUAUGAAGUUAGCGGCGGACGGGUGAGUAACACGUGGGUAACCUACCCAUAAGACUGGGAUAACUCCGGGAAACCGGGGCUAAUACCGGAUAAUAUUUUGAACUGCAUAGUUCGAAAUUGAAAGGCGGCUUCGGCUGUCACUUAUGGAUGGACCCGCGUCGCAUUAGCUAGUUGGUGAGGUAACGGCUCACCAAGGCGACGAUGCGUAGCCGACCUGAGAGGGUGAUCGGCCACACUGGGACUGAGACACGGCCCAGACUCCUACGGGAGGCAGCAGUAGGGAAUCUUCCGCAAUGGACGAAAGUCUGACGGAGCAACGCCGCGUGAGUGAUGAAGGCUUUCGGGUCGUAAAACUCUGUUGUUAG
rnacentral:rRNA from 1 species